CAUCAUUUAAAAGUCAUGAGGGAGAAGAAGAGGGGGACAGAGGAGUGUUACAACAAAAAGUUCUGCAGUGUGCUGAGAGCAGGAAACAGUAUACAGUUAGGGGACUUGCUUUGAAAAAUUUCUCUUGCCUUUAGCAGCCAUUAGAGGUAAAAAUGUGUGCUUUUUAACCUUGAUGGGGUAGUGUGAUAGAUGCAUGAUGGGGCAAGAUAGCACAGAUGGUCACCGGGAACUGGUUUUGUCUUUGGAUGUGUUAUUCUUGUUGUCGGGACCCAUGGCUGGGCAGCAUCCUGCUCCUCUAUUAGCAACACUCUUCUUUGGGUGGACUCACUCGCCAUCCCCAAGAGUGCAAGAGGCAAAGGUGAGAGGAAAGCUGACAAACAAGGAAAAUAAUCCCUUUGCCCACCCCUAGUGGAAACUCUGUUAGCUACAACAUGGCAGCUGAGAGAGAACUUAACCCAACCAAAUCUCUUUUAUUAUGUUCCUGUGUUUAUUUUUUCCGCUGUAUUUAUGACUUUGCAUGUUGUUUUUGGUGUGGAAAGGACUCUAAAGCUGUAGAUAUGUGUUGUAAUUAUACAAAUUCCUCUGCAUGGAGUCUGUUAAAAAGAUUGAUCUAUUUUUAUGAGGACACACACAAAUACUCAUUUUGAUGGACCUCAUUGGCAUUUAUUGCAGGCCUGCCACUACUAAAAUUUAAAGCCAACCUUGUAAAUUUUAUGGAAACUACAUGCUGCAAUUAUUAGCCCGAAGACCUCCUGUCUCGCAGGAAUGAGUCAGAUUUUGCUUUUCACGUACACUGUGGUUUACACCUGAAAGAGAUUAGUGGGGACCACCAGUAGCUUGAAAACCUAAUCUCCAGUAUUUUGUUUCCAGUUUAGCUCUGAAAGAUACUCCAGGUGUUCUCAUUAAUUAGUCAUUGUAAGUCACUGUGUCACUAUUGUGCAUAGA